rnacentral:lncRNA from 1 species
AACAUAACGGUAAAGCAACAAAGAAGAACAGCUUUUUCUGAGUCAGCCUUGCUAGGCUAAAAUAGCUUCUUGCAGAUGGUUUGGAGGAGAUUUGUGAUGCGAAACAGAAUGUCUUGUGGCAUGCUGAUGAUUCCCAAGUAACACUUAAAGGUAGGGGUGCCAUAUUUCAAAAAGUGAAAAUCCGGAUAGUAAAGUUCUUGAUUUUCCCAGAUGUGUAGACGAUUUCCGCCCAGCCACUGCUUUAGACUGCAGUAUUCCGGGUAGGUCCUGGAAAUUCUGGACGUAUGGCAACCCUACUUAAAGGAAGGUUUUUGUAUGGAGUUGUGUGCCUGUCAAGAACUAUAUCAUGGGUAGGCAAACUUUGGCCUGGGAAUCAGCGUGUUUUUACAUGAGUAGAAUGUGUCCUUUUAUUUAAAAUGCAUCUCUGGGUUAUUUGUGGGGCCUGUCUGGUGUUUUUACACGAAUAGAAUGUGUCCUUUUAUUUAAAAUGCAUCUCUGGGUUAUUUGUGGGGCAUAGGAAUUCGUUCAUUUUGUUUCCUUCAAAAUAUAGUCCGGCCCUCCACAAGGUCUGAGGGACAGUGGACCAGCCCCCGUUGAAAAAGUUUGCUGACCCCUGAUCUAGUACCCAUUUACUCGGGGAGAAUCUCUUCUCAAACACCAGGACUUUUGAUUUUUCAUAAUUGAUGGGUAACCCAUUAGAAUAUUUAUGUUAUUGUUUUGACAUCUUGGGGUGGGGACACACACACAGAGAGAGACAAUGGCCAGUUUUCUGGUAACAUCCUCUUGACUGGAGAGAGGAUGUUGAUACUGAUGAUCUAUUCAGGAGGGGUCAGGAAUUAUCUUAAAAACAAUAAUUAUUAUUUCUAAAGCAAACAAGCCACUAUACAAUAAAAUUACAGACAAGCCCUGCCCUCAGAUUUACUAUAUAACCAGGGCUUUUUGUCAGCCAGAACUCACCACUCAGUUCUGGCACCCCUCAGGUGGGCGCCAUUGCCAUUCUAAGAGAACAAGGGAGGGGUUCAUGGUGAGAUUUGGCACCUCUUUUUCUAGAAAAAAAUAGCACGGUAUAUAACCAAUAUCUGGAUCUGCCUCACAAUCUUUCAGCAGAAACUGCCUCAGAGGGAGGUUGUGAGGCUCUAACGUAACUCUGAGAUCCUUGAAACAAGGCCAAGGUAUAGGUGUGAUGAACUGAUAAAUGUGUUUGUGCUUCAUGAGGUAGACUAUCUGGUGUUUGCCAAGUGUCUCCCCACUCACCGCUUCUUUUUUAAAAAAAUAUUUUUUUAAAAGAGGUGCAUGAAUGCUCCAAUGCUGGGUUGGCUGGCUGAACAAGGAACUGCUCAGCCUCUGAACAAGAUAAAUAUAUGCACACAGAGGUGCCAUCAGGACGCGACUUAGGAGCUGAUGCCCACGGCCACAUUUAGUAGAAGGAGCAGGAAGUUCCCCACUCUUCAUGGCAUUUUGCUAUACGUGAAGGAAUACCCAUUGCAAUUUAAAAGGGGGUUAAUAAGACCUCUAAGUGCUGUCUAAAAUCGACCUAAGUGCACCACUGUAUGCACGUUUCUUGAGAAUCCUUUUAAAAAGUUAAUUUAAUGGCAGAUGAAUAAAAGGAAGGCCCUAAUAUUUAAAAAUAUCCAAGUUAGAAAUGGCAUUUGAUUUCUGGUAAAAAGCCACAGGGGACUUAGCAUUUGAAAUGUCAUCUUUGUCUUUGAAAAUCACCCAGUUCAACACUUCUCCAUUAGGAGGGAUAAUUGCACCGCCUGUUAUGGCGCUUUCAAACAUUUUUGGAAGAGAUUCAUGGUUCCUUUAAAAAAAAAAAAACCCAAACUAAAAAAGGGGCACAUUUUGUGCUGCUUCCAAACCCAAAUAGGCACUUGCUUAUUAAAUUGCUUUUAAAAGUGAAGAAACUGAAGAUUUGUUUCCCCCUUGGGCUUACAUCAGCCCAUUCCGUCACAUUCCUCUGCUUCAGAAAGGAAUAUUUUAACAUAUAUUAACAUUAUCCAGGUGAGUGAUGUGGAUUGUACAUGCCACAUCUUGCUUCCACCUUAGGUACUAUCUAUUACUGGGCCAGCAAUGCAGAAAUAAUUUAUCAUUCAAUUUCCUUGUGGAGAGAUGCCUCUCCUGAACAUUUGUAUUUUCAGGCAUGUGUUUGUGUGUGUGUACGCACACACACGCGUGUCAGACAGGCAGACAGACAGACAGAAAUUUCAGACCCUCCAAGUGUCCCUAUUUUCCAGGGACAGCCCCAAUUUUAAAGAAGCUGUCCCGGUUUGUUAUUUGGUCCUGAAAUGUCCCACUAUUCUUUAAGACAUCCCUAUUUUCAUUGGUCCAUGGGGUGGGGGAGAGGAUCUGGUCCACUGUGGUUACAUCAAUUUAUAUACAGUGGUACCUCGGCUUAAGAACUUAAUUCGUUCUGGAGGUCCGUUCUUAACCUGAAACUGUUCUUAACCUGAGGUACCACUUUAGCUAAUGGGGCCUCCCACUGCCGCCGCACCACUGCCACAUGAUUUCUGUUCUCAUCCUGAAGCAAAGUUCUUAACCUGAGGUACUAUUUCUGGGUUAGCGGAGUCUGUAACCUGAAGCGUCUGUAACCCGAGGUACCACUAUAUAUAAAUAUAUAUAAUAAUGCAGGUGGCGCUAUGGUCUAUACCACUGAUCCUCUUGGGCUUUCCAAUCGGAAGGUUGGCGGUUCAAAUCUGCAUGACGGAGUGAGCUCCCGUUGCUCUGUCCCAGCUCCUGCCAACCUAGCAGUUCGAAAGCACGCCAGUGCAAGUAGAUAAUUAGGUACCACUGUGGCCGGAAGGUAAACGGUGUUUCCGUGCAGUCUGGUUUCCAUCACAGUGUUCCGUUGAGCCAGAAGCGGUUUAGUCAUGCUGGCCACAUGACCCGGAAGGUUGUCUGUGGACAAACGCCGGGUCCCUCGGCCUGAAAGCAAGAUGAGCGCUGCAACCCCAUAGGCGCCUUUGACUGGACUUAACCAUCCAGGGCUCCUUUACCUUUACCUUUUACAACAAUAGAUAGGUGAUGAUAGAUGAUAGAUAGAUAGAUAGAUAGAUGAUUGAUAGAUAGAUAGAUAGAUAGAUAGAUAGACAGAUGAUAUAUAGAUAGAGAUAUAUAAACCACAAAAGCAUCAAAUAAUGUACAAUAUCAGAAAGCAGCAGUAUAGCGGAUGGACUGCCAUCCAGUUUGCCGUUGGCCAAUUUAUAUUCCAUUGGGUGGGGAAAGAAGGGAAGCACUACAAAGGAAUAAAUCAAUGCCCUAUGUCAUGGGUAGGCAAAUUAAGGCCCAGGGGCCGGUUCCGGCCCAAUCACCUUCUAAAUCCGGCCUGCAGACGGUCUGGGAAUCAGCAUGUUUUUACAUGAGUAGAAUGUGUCCUUUUAUUUAAAAUGCAUCUCUGGGUUAUUUGUGGGGCAUAGGAAUUCGUUGUUCUUCUUUUUUUUCAACAUAUAGUCUGGCCCCCCACAAGGUCUGAGGGACAGUAGACUGGCCCCCUGCUGAAAAGGUUUGCUGACCCCUGCACUAUGUGAAGUACUUCCUUUCAUUCUCCCUGAAUUUCCCUGUGCUUAUCUCCAUUGGCUCUUCCCUGACAGUUGGCCAUGUUGGCUGGGGCUGAUGGGAGUUGUAGCCCAACAACAUCUAGAGGGCCUUGCUUUGGAGCUUCAACUUUAUCCACCAGACCCCCUUGGCUUUAGCCUUCCAAAAUAUGUUCCGAGAGGGAUUAUUUGAUCCGGCAAGCUCUCUUUCUUUUCCUUGGCCUCCACGCCUCAGUGAGCAUCUCAUGCCUGCUAAAUAACUCCCUGCCCUUAGCUAACUCCAGUUGGAACUAGUCUGAUGAAUAUGUAGGUCUUUCUCUCUCUCUCUCUCUCUCCCUCUCCCUCUCUCUCUCCCACCCCGCCCCUCUGUUUCCUCUAUUUCUUUCCCUGCCCCUUUCUCCAGUGAUAACACCACCUAAUUAGGCGGUUGAUUGUUUCAGCUUGGGGAAAAAAGUCUCCAAAAGGUAGUGCUUGUUUGCUUCUUCCUCCCUCCUUGUCUGCCUGCUUCUACACUGGAGAUCACUACUUACGAGUAAAGGAAGCCCAUUGCCUAAUCAUCAGGAUCAGGAUGUGGUCAUCUUUAUUGCUUCUAGAUUAGGGUUGCCAGAUAUCCCCAGUUCCCAGGGACAGUCCCUGGAUUUGCAAAUCUGUCCCCGGACAAAUUCCGUCCCCAGAAUGUCCCCAGAUUUGCAAAUCUGUCCCUGGGAAACGUGACAGCAGUAGCCUCAGCAGCCUGGAGCCAGUCUGGUAGCGCAGUUGGCUCUGGCUGGCUUCAGGAGCUGCUCGCUGCCAUGGCGCCCGCCAUUUUUCCUCACCGAAAGUCCCCAUAUGGUGUGUCUUGUGCGCAAAGAAUAGUUUAGGAGCCUAAUGCUUCCAAAGCUAUCCCCAACUGUAUAAAAAACCUUUAACCUUUGUUCAAACAAAAUCUGCCCUAUUUCCCUUAUGGGGUAUCCAAGAGCCCAUAUAGAGUCCUUACGUAGGUUCCCUAUUGGUAGGAGAAAAUAACAGAGGCCAACCAGAGAAUAUUGAGAAGCAAAGCAGCUCGUAAGCCUGAUCUUUAUUAAUCUGUUGCAACAGGGUGCUCCCCUCACACGCAGGAGAGGAAGAGGAACCCAGAACAAAGGUGUGCCUGCCCUUAUAUAGACAUUUUAAAUUCCCUGCCCUGGAGCUCAAGACCACCCCUCCAUACAUCAUACCUACAUCACAGAAAAGGUGGUCUACAGAAGAAAUCUGAGUGUGUUGUUUAUCUCGUCUGACAGGUUACGUGUUAAUGCUCACUUGAUUGGAUACCCUGGGGAGCCUGGCCAGUCUUUUGUAAUGAUAAAUACUUAGUUCCUGAGCCAGGUCACAGGCUCACCUUAUUCAAACACAGACAUACCCUUAAGACAAGAUUUGGGAAGGAUAAGACAAUGGGGAGGCGUUUCCAUUUUCCUUUGACCUUGCAGAGAAAACAUUUGUUCAAUUUGGGAAUCAAAAAUGGUUUCAGGUCGGUCUUCCUGUGCUGAUCUAUGUACGUGCUUGGUUGGUACAUUUAUUAUAUAUCUAAGACCUUAAAAUUCUUAUCACACCUUUUUAAAAAUAAUAAUAAUAAUAAUAAUGAAAACCAACAGGCAGACAAAAAUUACAUAGCAGCAAGAAAAGCCAGCCAGCUAGUAUAAGUGCUAGCUUGCCACGCAGGGAAAAAGAGGUUUCAGCCCCAAUGUCCUGAUGUAUUCCUUGGUCUUACAUUGUUCCAUGUGUAAAGGAAUUCAUGUUAUCCAACUAUCCAUAUGGCCAGAUCAGCUUGUGUGUUGUGUAUCUACUUGCUUCUGCUGUGUGGGCUUGAAGUCGAGCCUGACCUCUGCUUCACCCUGUUUUGUGCAACACAAUAUGCCCCACGGAGGCCUGGCCAGAAGCAGUUUCUGGGCUCGGAAGCCUGCGGGCACUAGAAUGAUGGCCAAUUCCUUUUGUAGAGGAAACAAAGGACACCCACUCCUCUUCCAAUCUGCAUAGCCGAGUCAUAUCCAAUUUGCACUAGGCUAAUUUCACUUUACAUAACAGCGGAUCUGCGACCAAGAUUACCAGGAAACACAUAUACCCCCAUGCAAAAAGAAAAAGAAAAAAAGUGUAAAUAGCAGAGGGUGGUUACAUAUCAUAAAAGGCUACCUUUCUUUCAGUGUAUAACUGGACCUGCUUGUGAAAUUGUUGUCUGCCUAAGCUCGGGUUGGGGGGGAAGUGGCCUGCUAGGUGUUGUUCCCCCAUCCCUGGUACUGGGCUCUGAUCUUCAGAAAUUAGCAGCUGAAAGUAUAUGGGCAUCGCUUGGCAGGGUGUAUUCCAUAGGUAGUCCUCCAUCUUUUUCAGCAUCUUGCAAGAUGGCCACAGCCGUGAUUAAAUCAAGCCACACCUUUCCUCCAGUAUUAGCAGUAUGUUGCUCUAAUUUGCAGCUUCCCACAGCCUGAACUAAAUUCGGAAGACAAUUGGAUUUUUUUAUUUUAUUUUUAUUGGAUUAUGAUUAUGAUUUGAAUGUCAAUUGGAUGUUUUUAUUGGAAAAUUAGGGACGCGGGUGGCGCUGUGGAUUAAACCACAGAGCCUAGGACUUGCCGAUCAGAAGGUCGGCAGUUCGAAUCCCCGUGACUGGGUGAGCUCCCGUUGCUUGGUCCCUGCUCCUGCAAACCUAGCAGUUCAAAAGUACGUCAAAGUGCAAGUAGAUGAAUAGGUACUGCUCUGGCGGGAAGGUAAACGGCGUUUCCAUGUUCUGCUCUGGUUCCCCAGAAGCGGCUUAGUCAUGCUGGCCACAUGACCUGGAAGCUGUACGCCGGCUCCCUCGGCCAAUAAAGUGAGAUGAGCGCCGCAACCCCAGAGUCGAUCACGACUGGACCUAAUGGUCAGGGGUCCCUUUACCUUUACCUUUAUUGGAAAAUUAAUAAACGCUCUAAAAAAAAAAAAAAAAAAGCAGUAUGUUGCAAUCAUCUCUCCUCUUUUCCAGGCUAAACAUAUUCUGCUCCUUUGACCGUUCCUCAUAAGGCUUGGUUUCUAAACCCUUGAUCAUCUUGGCUGCCCUCCUCUGUACUCAUUCAUUCUUCGUAGCAACGCUAUUUAUGGCAGACGCAUGCGAGACACUCUGCCAAUAUGACUUCAGGUUAUACUGUGGCCUUCAUGUCAUUUGGCUUAGAUAACUUAACAGCUGGGUCCGUCCCCUGUCCCGCAGGCUUGCUUGUGUUCCCAACCUUAGGUAGCAUAUGCUUGCUUUUGCCCAUCUGCCAGACUAUCUCAAUCACCUUGAUACCUCUUUGCAUUUGCUACUUCCUCCCUGCACAUAUUUGCAAAUUCUGAGGCCUGUGUUUGGCAGGCGGCUAAGAGUACUGGGAUCAUGGAAAACUGUCUUGUACUAGGUCAUACCAAGAUUGUUUACACUUUCCGGCAACAGCUCUGCAAGAUUUCAGGCACAGGUCCCCCCACCCCUGUCCUAACUGGAGAUGAAAGGUAUUGAAAAGCUUCUCAGGACUGACGGCAGCAAGAAUAUUAUUGGCACAAAAUUGGAAGCAAGAAGAAUUACCGACGAAAGAAGAAUGGAGGAGGAAAAUGAUGGACUAUGCAGAAUUAGAUAAACUAACAGGAAGAAUUCGAAACCAGAGAUUCUCAGGAGGCUGGAGUAAAUUUACGGACUAUUUGAAAAGUAAUUGUGAUGAACAGAUUACGCCCGUAGGCUUGCAAGCAGUUUUGUAAGGUGCAUUAUUUGAAAUGCUGCAAAAAAGAUAAUGAGGAGAAUUUUUAGUUAAAGAUAAUUGAAGGUAAUAUGAAAUUAAGAAAUGCAUAAUAAGUGAUAAGAACGGAAAAUCAUCAGAGGUGUUGACCGAAGUCCAAAAAUUAUUGUAUAAGAUGAGAAGUUUUGUUGUAUGAAUAAUAAUUAGUAUGUUAAAAAUUAAUAAACAUGUAUAUAAAUGUGAAAAGCUUCUCAGGACAGCUGACAAAUACAACAGUGAUUAAAAUAUCCAUAAGAUGAUCAUUUUUUACUAACUAAAACUUAAAUAUAGCAGUAAAGCAGUGUUCUAGAAAAAUUUGGGGCUGCCUUUUACAGCCCCUCUCCAUCAAAGGACUCAGUUUCCUCUAAGUCCAUUCUCAGUGAGAGAAGAAUGGAUGGAGGCAGGAACCAGUGAAAGGAAAACAGAUAUUUAUUUUUCUGAUGCAACAGAGUCCCAUCCUGCCCCCCUUGCAAGGAGGUGAUGACCCAAAACGAAGGUAUGCAAGAACUUUUAAAGAAAUUUCACAACCCCUUCACCGAAGACCACCCAAAAAACAUCACGCACACAUCACAGAAAGAGGCAGUCUACAACAGAAAUUUGAGAGUGUUGCUUGUCUCCUGCCUAACAAGAUACCUGAUAAUGGUGAAAUAGAGCUGCCAUCUUUCAAAAAAUGAAAAUCCGGACACAAAAGUUGCUGAGUUCUUUUUCCAAAAUCUAAAAAUAAAAUAAAAAUGAAGUUGUUGAGCAUUUUUAAAGGAAAUUCGCAAAAUAAAAAUAAAAACCAACACUGCCCAAAUGGUUGCCAGACAUAUGUGUUUUCCCUGAAAUUUUUACCGAUUUUUGGAAAUUCCGCCUGGACACUAUUUCCGACAGACGAAUCCUGUAUAUGUCUGGGAAAUUCUGGAUGGAUGGUAAAAAAGGUAAAGGGACCCCUGACCAUUAGGUCCAGUCGUGACCGACUCUGGGGUUGCGGCGCUCAUCUCGCUUUACUGGCCGAGGGAGCCGGCGUACAGCUUCCGGGUCAUGUGGCCAGCAGGACUAAGCUGCUUCUGGUGAACCAGAGCAGUGCACGGAAACGCUGUUUACCUUCCCACCAGAGCGGUACCUAUUUAUCUACUUGCACUUUGACGUGCUUUCGAACUGCUAGGUUGGCAGGAGCAGGGACCCAACAACGGGAGCUCACCCUGUCGCGGGGAUUCGAACUGCCGACCUUCUGAUCGGCAAGUCCUAGGCUCUGUGGUUUAACCCACAGCGCCACCCGCGACAGAUGGUAGUCCUAUGUCAAAUGGUCACUGAAUGCAUUACCUGGGCUGUCUGAUCCAUUCUUUUGAGAUAAUAAAUACCUUAGUUUUUGAAUACAGGUCACAGGCCUACCCUAUUCAUACACAAAAUAUGCCCUUAAGACAGGAUGUGUAGGAUUUGUAAGUGAAAAGAACCAUCAGGAGAGGAAAUAUUUGGGGUCUUAAGAUGGCUUCAGGAUUGCUCUCCUAUGCUAUUUCAGACAAAUGGUUUAUGUACAUAAGGUACCUUGUGCACUCAUGAACAUUCAUUUUAUUUAUGACACCUUAGAAUUCUUAUAGCAGCAUUAAUACCGUAAUAUAAAUACAGAUUUUUUAAAAAUGUAGUAAGACCUAAUUCGUGAGGUGUUUUGCACACACUAACAUUGUUCUAUGUUUUGUUUUGUUUUUUGCUGUUUUACAACAUUGUCUUUACUACUUUUUUUGUAUGUGCAGGUGUUAUUUUGGUUUACGUUCAUAUUUUCUUCUAUUCAUUUAAAUUAUAUGUGAAUUCAAAACACUUCACCUCUCCCUGUGUGUGUUAUAUAUGAUACAUAUAUUUACCAGAGUAAUAAGAUCAUAGGGCAAUAAGAUGAAUAAGAUCAUAGGGCAAAACCUUUUAGCUCUAUUGAGAUGAGCGUUUUAAGGUUGUGUUUGCAUUUGUUUAUAAUUUUGAUACAAACUGGUUUUAUGGCACCAGUUUAUAUUUCAUUUUGUGUUAUUUGGAAAUCCAGAUCCCAGCUAAUUUGGGAAACUUUCUAAAACAUCUUCCACCUUUGCUCAGCUGGGUUUUCCUUUCUUUCUUUUUUAAUUAACUGAGCUGGGUUUUAGCAAAACUAUCCACUGUAAUUUAAGAGCGAUGCCAGCAAGGCUUCUUCCUUGGAGCACAUAAAGUCGCAAAUGAAUGCUAAUUAGUGGUAUUAAGAGAACCAAAAUGCAUCCCCAAAGCACCAAGAAUGGAGAGAACACUCCUAUACAUUCCUUUUAUCUAUUAUAUAGUAGUGCCUCAUUUUUUUAAAAAGCAGCAACAUUGUCAAAUCCUGGAAAGUUAUUCUAGUUGUUUCCUUUCGCUUGGGAGAUUGCUGUAUCCAUGUAAAAAGAACAAAGUCUCUCUACGGUGGUAUGUAUGCAUCAGUAGUCUAGAGAGACUAAUAAAAUGCAAAGACUUUAAAUCAUGCUCAUUGCCAAUUAAACGCAGACAAUUAGCUCGUUCUGAAAGCAAUUUGGGUUUCCAGCAGUUAAUGUGCAUGCAUACCCAAACUCCACUGAUGUUUUAGAGGAGGUAUAAACAAAGCAAGGGCAUUUGGGAAAAAACGGAAAGGUAUCAGAUGAGAAUGGUCGUCUUGAAUGGUGAAUAGCUUAAAAUAUGGGAAGAGCAGAACAUUUCCAGAGCAGCUGUGCUGUGUGCAUUUAACACACAGUCCUAAAAGAGGAGGGCCAAGAAUGUGAGCAGGUCAGCAGCUGGCAAGAACCACGCUCCCCUAAAUCGACCAGGUGGUGGCGGAGAUAUCAUCAUCACCAUCACUUUUAAUUUGUAUACUGCCAGAAGAAAUAUCAACAACUUCAGAUAUGCAGAUGACACAACCUUGAUGGCAGAAAGUGAGGAGGAAUUAGAGAACCUUUUAAUGAAGGUGAAAGAGGAGAGUGCAAAAUAUGGUCUGAAGCUCAACAUCAAAAAAACGAAGAUCAUGGCCACUGGUCCCAUCACCUCCUGGCAAAUAGAAGGGGAAGAAAUGGAGGCAGUGAGAGAUUUUACUUUCUUGGGCUCCAUGAUCACUGCAGACGGUGACAGCAGUCACGAAAUUAAAAGACGCCUGCUCCUUGGGAGAAAGGCGAUGGCAAACCUAGACAGCAUCUUAAAAAGCAGAGACAUCGCCUUACCGACAAAGGUCCGUAUAGUUAAAGCUACGGUUUUCCCAGUAGUGAUGCAUGGAAGUGAGAGCUGGACCAUAAAGAAGGCUGAUCGCUGAAGAACUGAUGCUUUUGAAUUAUGGUGCUGAAGGAGACUCGCUCCUGGCAAUUUGUGUCCCACCAGUUUAAAUUGCAUUUCUCCAUGGAGUGUUCACUGGGAGAUGGACAAUGUAAUUGGCAACACCUGAAAUGGGAGGCAGGAAGUAUUGUGUCAAGUGACACUGUUCAGAUCUCUUCCACUACAGUCAUAGCAAAUGAUGAAGCAGAUCCUUUCCAUCUGUGAUAUCAAUGUAAAUUUGAUCAAAAACCAUCAAGCGCAUAAGAACUGUCAUGUUUUUCCAGACCACUGAUUCAUGUGAGGCAUAAUUACAGUAGUGACUCCAUGUUUAUAUCACCAAAACAGUAAUCUCCAACACAGUGGUAUCUGGUCUGGACUGAAUAAUCUCCCCCCCUCCUUUCUCUCUCUCUCUCUCUCUCUCUCUCUCUCUCUCUCUCUCUGAAUUCUCAGCAAAUCAAUUUCUUCCAUUUCUUUAAAGGACUGCAUGCAAAUUGAUAUUACCCCUUUUGGUCCUGGCACUUUUAAUAUUAUUUGUAUACAUUAUGAGAGUUAUCUCUAGGAAAUCAUAAAGGAGGGCUGGCUUUUACAUUCUGAAAUUUUAUUAGAGUUCACAUAAUGUGAUAAAUUAUACAUUGCUUCAUUAAGUAUAGAUGUGGCAGUGCCUUUUGUCGAGAAGCAAUUUCGUCAUUUAAAACGGCACCUGUGAUGUUUGCACAAAAUGGCCCAAACUCUUUGUUAUAAGUGAUUGAAAAAUAUAUCCUUUGGUUCAGUCUUGCAUAUCACAGUGGGAAAUGUUAUCGGGAGGGAAAUGUUGAAUUCAUUUUGUUGUGGCUUGUUGAAAUAGUGAACACCAGCUGUUGAAAUUUCAAAUGAAAUAUGCAUUGGUUAGAGAUGAGACCUUUUGGACUGUCCAUCAGUUGUAGUGGUGGAUAUUGACCUGUUUUUACUUACUAGCAGCCUUUCUCAACCUGUGAGUCCCCAGAUGUUGUUGAACUACUGCUCCCAUCACCCCUAGCUAGCAAGGCCAGAGCUCAGGGAUGAUGGGAGUUGUAGUCCAACAACAUCUGGGGACCCACAGGUUGAGAAACGCUGACUGGGUACCUACAACAACAACAAAAAUAACGCUGCCGUAAAUGGAUCUGAGUAGGUAAGUGUUAUUUCAUUCAGGCGGCGAAGUCAGCUGAAUGAAAGAAAGAAAUGUUGAAAAGAUUAGUUUAAGAAGGACUGGGGGAGAAACCCCCUUUUUACUGCAGUCAGAGCUGUCUUCAUAGAAUUACAGUGGUGCCUCGCAAGACAAAAUUAAUUCGUUCCGCAAGUUUUUUCGUCUAGCGAAUUUUUCGUCUUGCAAAGCACGAAAUCCCAUAGGAAUGCAUUGAAAUUCAAUUAAUGCGUUCCUAUGGUCAAAAAAAGUCCAAACAAAGCCAAAUUUGGUACAACAAGAGUUUAUUAAGGGCUCUUUAAAGUCACACAUACUGUAAAGAGCAUUUCAAAAAUUGAAGGAACAAUAAAUUCAAAAAUUGAAGGAACAAUAAAUUCAAAAAUUGAAGGAACAAUAAAUUCAAAAAUUGAAGGAACAAUAAAAAUCAGAAAAAUGCAGAAAAAAACCACACAAGCUUCCAGAUUCUUGCAAACCCCUCCUCAACUGUUCCCCCAGCCACCCACCACACAGAAAUUCAAAUCCAGAAUUUUUUUAAAAAAACAACAUGGCCCAAUGGUCACAGAAAAUCAUAAAAAUUCAGAAAAAAACCACACAAGCUUCCAGAUUCUUGCAAACCCCUCCUCAACUGUUCCCCCAGCCACUCACCACACAGAAAUUCAAACCCAGAAAUUUUUUUUAAAAAAACAACAUGGCCCAAUGGUCACAGAAAAUCAUAAAAAUUCAAAAAAAACCCCACACAAGCUCCCAGAUUCUUGCAAACCCCUCCUCAACUGUUCCCCCAGCCACCCAACCACACAGAAAUUCAAACCCAGAAUUUUUUUUUAAAAAAAACAGCAGAGUGGCCCAAUGGUCACAAAAAAUCAUAAAAAUGCAGGGGAAAAAACACACAAGCUUCCAGAUUCUUGCAAACCCCUCCCCAACACCAAGUCCUUGAAUUCCAAACACCCCAACCCAAAAUCCAAAACCCCCCAAAAAAGUUUUAAAAGUUUAACUUACCAAAUGGCUGCAAAAGAAGUUUUGGAAAAGCUUCAAAAAUCACCAAAGUCUUCAAAAACCUCAAAAAAGGCUACCACACCGCAUGCUAUGAGUUGCUCCUCGAAGUCAAGUCGCAACUGCACCUCUUCAAGCAAUGCACCCUGGGUAUUAACGGUUUUACGAAAAAGGAAACAAACUUGCAAGACGUUUUUGUCUUGCGAAGCAAGCCCAUAGGGAAAUUCGUCUUGCGAAGCAGCUCAAAAAACGCAAAACCCUUUCAUCUAGCGAGUUUUCGUCUUGCGAGGCGUUCGUCUUGCGGGGCACCACUGCAUAGAAUUGGAAAGGACCCUGAGAAUCGCCUAGUCCAGCCCCCCCAUACAGAAAUAUGCAGCUGUCCCAUACGGGGAUGGAACCUGCACCUUGGUGUUAUCAGCACCAUGUUCUAACCCAGGGGUAGGCAAACUAAGGCCCAGGGGCCGGAUCCGGCCAAUCGCCUUCUAAAUUUGGCCUGUGGAUGGUCCAGGAAUCAGUGUGUUUUUACAUGAGUAGAAUGUGUCCUUUUAUUUAGGGGUGGAAUGCUCUGUCCCAUGAGACCAGGGCCCUGCAGGAUUUUACUUCCUUCUGCAGGGCCUGUAAGACAGAACUAUUCCGCCUGGCUUUCAAUUUGAACCUGGCCUGAUCUUUUGUUCCCCUUCCUUCCCUCCCCCUCCCCUUUUUGUGAAGAUUGCUCGCUCUGGGAUCCCACAGCUGGUUUUCUCCUGGUCUCAUUGCUGGCCCAAGUGGGACUAAUUUAGCCAGCUAGCCCUGGUGAUCAUCUAAUGUUUAUUGGAUGGAUUUCCCCCCAAACAGAUUUUUGAUUUUUGAUUUUAUUGUUAUUUAUGCUUUAUACUGUAUUUUAUGCUGUUUUUUUGUUGCCUCAAGUAAGUGUUUUAAAUUCGUUGUUAGCUGCCCUGAGCGUGGUUUCCUGAACCAGGAAGGGUGGGGUAUAAAUAAAAUUUUAUUUUUAUUUUUAUUUUUAUUUAAAUUUAUUUUUAUUCAUUUUCAUUUUCAUUUUCAUUUUUAUUUUUAUUUUUAUUUUUAUUUUUAUUUUUAUUUUUAUUUAAAAUGCAUCUCUGGGUUAUUUGUGGGUUAUGGGAAUUCAUUCAUUUCCCCCCCCCAAAAUAUACAGUGGUGCCCCGCAAGACGAAUGCCUCGCAAGACGGAAAACCCGCUAGACGAAAGGGUUUUCCGUUUUUUGAGUUGCUUCGCAGGACGAAUUUCCCUAUGGGCUUGCUUCGCAAGACGAAAAUGUCUUGCGAGUCUUGAGAUUUUUUUUUCGCUUUCCCCCCCCCUUUAUCUAAUCCGCUAAGCCUUUAAUAGCCUUUAAUAGCCUUUUAGCAGCUAAUCCGCUAAGCCUUUAAGCCUUUAAUAGCCGCUAAACCGCUAAUAGCGCUAAUCCGUUAAGCCGCUAAUAGGGUUGCUUCGCAAGACGAAAAAACCGCUAGACGAAGACUCUCGCGGAACGGAUUAAUUUCGUCUUGCGAGGCACCACUGUAGUCCAGUCCCCCACAAGGUCUGUGGAACAGUGGACCGGCCCCCUGCUGAAAAAGUUUGCUGGCCCCUGUUUUAACCAACUGAGCUAUCCAGGCUCAAUAAUACAGAAUGGAAAUGAAGAGCCACCAUUGUAAUUCACCUUGAAUGUGGUUUAUUGGUGGGCUGUGAGCUUACCUGCAAACACACUCAUAAGCCAUCAUAUCUAGCGUGGCUCUUCCCUGGGGGAAGCUGCUGGUACUAAGAACUUAGCAGUAGUGCUUUCUUUCCUAUCAGAUUCCACCAAAAGAGGUUUUCUUGCAUCCUGUCCUUUUUAUAUUUGGAAGGUGGUUAUAGGCAAAUAUCUCCUCCUUUCUCCCCUAUUUUGUUUUUUUUAAAAAAUAUUAUUCUUUAUUGAUUAAAAAUUUACAUAUCUAUUCAGACAUUGUACGCUGUCUCUUUACAUAUGAAGAAAAAGAAAAUUAUGUAGAGAAUAGAAAAUUUAUAAAGGAACAAAAAAGAGGCAAAGAAAAAAUAAAGAAAUAACAAAGAUAUGAAGUAAAAAAAAUCAAAAGAGAAAAAGACAACAUUAUUUACACAAUAAAAGUGUUCAUCGACACAAUCCUUCCCAUCCUUCUCAUUGUACUGUAAUAUAAACAUUCUUUUUUAACACAGAUUUGUAUGGUAUAAUAUCAUUUCUUUCUACUUUGUAUAUAUUCCUCUAAUCGUUUUCUUUACAAAUAUCACUCAAUUUCUGCGAAUAUGGAAUUAUUUGUGCAAUAAAGUUUUACAUAGUUGUUGAAUAUUAUCCAUUCUCUAGUUAUUUUUUGUUUCAAUGUUCCUCUAACUUAUCGUAUCUUUGUUAUUUCUUAAUUUUUUUUCUUUUUCUCUUUUUUGUUCCUUUAUAAAUUUUCUAUUCUCUGCAUAAUUUUCUUUUUUGAGUCCCUCAUCCCACUCUCUUUAUCUUUCUCUCUUUUUUUGCCAUGCCACUUUUGACUUCUGUAGUAUUCAGAAAUGCUCAGGCAAUUCUUUCCCAGCUAAUGGGGGGAGGGGGAGGCAGAGAAGGAGAGAUUAAAUUGUGGUGUAAUGAGGUGUUGUAGGAAAGUACUGAAUUGACACCUCUGCCAGCGCCUGCAAAUUGUGUUCCUUUUUGUCCAAGGCUGAGAGCAACCAGCUUGAUAGGUGUCAGUAUGAAUAUCCGUUAACAAGGUGGGUGCCAAUAUAUUUCAAGAGGUGAAUUGUAAUGGAUUGCAAUGAUUUGGAAUAGCUCGACUAUUCCAUAUCUUUCUUUUUCUAUGGCAGCUUCUAAGAAGCCAAACUUGACUUUCCGAUUUAGGGAUUUGCAAGUGAACACAUGAAGCGUGAACAGUUUCAAUAGCAAUUUGCAUGGUACCAUUAGUGUGUCUGGUGCUUUUUUGGAAGGUUAAAGGUUUGAAUCUGCGCAACGGGGGAGCUCCUGUUGCUCUGCCCCAGCUCCUGCCAACCUAGCAGUUCGAAAGCACACCAGCUCAAGUAGAUAAAUAGGUACCACUGCGGUGAGAAGGUAAACGGCGUUUCUGUGUGCUCUGGCACUCAUCAUGGUCCUCUGUGCACCAGUAGCAUUUUAGUCAUGCUGGCCACAUGACCCAGAAAGUAGUCUGUGGACAAACACUGGCUCCCUCGGCCUGAAAGCAAGAUGAGCACCAAGGCAACCCCAUAGUUGCCUUAGACUGGACUUAACCAUCCAGGGGUCCUUUACCUUUUUGCCAGUGUCACAGCCCCGCUUGUAUUAUUUGGGAUCCCCAAGCCAGUUGCUGUCGGGAAGGCACCAAGGAGACCUGUGACUUGCCCCUGCUUUACAUAUUUACAUUACCAUUGUAAUGCAGUAUCAAACAGUAGACCAAUGCCAGAAGUGGAACUUAACAAUUCAGCACCAUACCCUAAGUUUUGAACCAUGAAGUCGAAGUCAUCAAAACAUCAAAAACAUCAAAACAUAUUGUGUGAAUUAACCUGGUGAAAUAUGUAUUUAUCAAUGUACUUUUUCUGCAUCUGAUUGCCCUGUGAUCUCUCUCUCUCUCUCUCUUUGUAAACCAAGAAAAUUAAAGAUUUUCUUGGUUUACAAAAGUAUGUGCAAUGUUGUUGAGACAUUAGGAAGAAAAGGGGGGAUGAGGUGGAGGGGGGAGAGGUGAGUGGGGGUGGGGUCAGGUGCCGAUGUUUCUAUUUUACUUAAUAUACAUGGGGUUUUGUGUCAGCGUCGCUUGUGCAGGUUCUCUGCUAUUCACUUGUGUUUCUUUGGUGGUGAGAGAGGUUGGGGGUUGGCCUAGGGCAGGGGUCUGCAACCCGCGGCUCUGGAGCCGCAUGUGGCUCUUUUACACCUUUGCCGCGGCUCCGGGGCGGAUACUAGCGAGGGGAGGAGGCGCAUUGUGCGCCCCAACACUCCCCACUGUGGCGGGCGCUGUACUGGCUGUGACGUCGCAUGGGGGCGGUGCGUGUGUUAGUCACACACUGUCCCGAUGUCACCUUCCCGCCUGCCCGCCCGCUACAUUGUAAGGGGCAUGUACGCUGGUCACUGCAUUGAAAGGGGGCAUGUACGCUGGUCACUGUUUUGAAGGGGAGUGAAGAACACACACACAAAAAAAGGUAACUUGUUAAUUUAAUGUUUAUUUCUAUGAGGAGGAGUAAUUCUGAGGGGUCAAACAAAGAAAUAAUUUUAAAAAGUGACAAAAAAGUUAUUUUUAUAAUGACGAGUUUUGCGGCUCCCAGUUUUUUUUUCUUCGGAAAUGGGUCCAAGUGGCUCUUUUUGUCUUAAAGGUUGCAGACCCCUGGCCUAGGGUGUGGUUGUUUGUUUGUGAUUGGCUGUGGUGAUCUUUGUUUUCAUGUCUGAGUGGGGUGGGUGGGUUUUUUGGAUCAAAUUAUCCAUACUGAUUUGUAUGUUGUUGGUGGAUUCUUGUCAUUGUCUUGUUGGGCUGUGUAUGUGAUAAAGGGAAGCCAUACCGGGGUGAAGGCAUCUUCUUCUAUUUGUUCCUGUGUCAGUUUCAGUUUAUUGGUUAAUUUUUCUAGUGAGGCUGUUUCCCAUACCAUGGGUCCAUGCUUACUCCUGACAGAUCUCUCCAGUGUCUGGUUAUGGUGUUUCUGGCUGCUGAAAGUAGGUGGGUUAUGAGUUCUUUGUGGUGUAAAUGUGCAUUAUUGUCUUGGAAGAUGUUUAGUAGGGCCAAUUCUGGGGUGAUUUCUAAUACUUGCUUAGUUAUUUUACAUAUUUCUCCUAUGGCUGUUGUCCAGAAUAGUUGGAUUUUGGGGCACUCCCACCACAUGUGAAGGUAUGUGCCUGUGGAGGUGCACCCUCUCCAGCAUUUUGGUGAGGUUUCUGGGCGUAUUAGCGCUAGUUUUCUUGGUGUUAGGUACCACCUGUAGGUGAGUAAGAUUGCUUGAUGUUCAUUUGAAAACCCUCACCUUGAUUAGGUUACCCAUGCCUUUUCUGCCCUGCACGUGCUGCAGGUGAAUGUCGAAGCAGGUGGUGAUUGCAGUCUUGGAAUAUGCCCCACGCACAAUGCCAUUAGGCUGGUGGGGAUAUACUCAAAUUGCCAGGGCUGCCCAUGUCUGGACACACAGGGGAUAAUACAGAAAUAAUCAGUAAUUAGCUUUUAUUAUUGCAAUGAAACAGUUUCUCAAGAAGCACUUUUUCAAGGGCAAAAAUAUGCACUAGAUAUAGGUUGUGUGUGGACUAUGUAAAAAAAAGCACUCCAUCACCACUGAUUCUAGAAUUAAAUGUGUUUGCGCAGCCCAAGACCUCCUUCCUAAUGUGUUUAAAUUGAACAAUUAUUCUACCCAUUGUUUUCUAACAUCCUUGUAAAUAGGGCUGCCAUACGUCUGGAUUUUCCCGAAUUCUACCAGAAUUUAAAAGGCGGAAGUGAUGUCCGGGGGGGGGGGGAUUUCCGGAAGGCAUUUUUUUGGGCGUUUUCGUUUAAAAAUGCUCCACAACUUUGUGGUUUGUCUGAAAAAAGCUCCACAACUUUGGGGUUUUCCUAUAAAAAGCUCAACUUUUGAGGUGUCCUGGUUUUUAACUUGUUGAAAUAUGGCAACCCUACUUGUAAAUACCAUAUUUUUCGCUCUAUAAGAUGCACUUUUUCCCGCCUAAAAAGUAAGAGGAAAUGUGUGUGCUGUUCUGGCUUCAGGGAUAGCCGCGGGAAGUCUUCAGCAACAUUUGAUUCAGAAUACUUUUUUUCUUGUUUUCCUCCUCUAAAAACUAGGUUCGUCUUAUGGUCGGGUGCGUCUUAUAGAGCGAAAAAUACGGUAACUGAAUCUCUUUCUCAACCUCAUCACUUCUCAACCUCUUUAAGAAACGGAAGCAGAGAGGAGCAGAAGGAGAUUCUGGCAACCUGUUUCCAGUAAUACCAUAGCUUGGAGUAGCAUAGAGAACGGUGGGAAUCAUUGUCUGAUGCAGCAGGAAGGGUUGUAAAGUGUCGGUCCUAAUUUGUUGGGGGGAGACAUCUGGCAGCAAAAUGCUUGGGGCUGGCGCUGCUUUUUGAAGCAAGACAUCUAGGCAGAAACCCCUAGUUUGCAGCCCUGUAGUAAACUUAGUUGUGUGGAUUUGUUUGUGCAGUCCGAUGGGCUGCACGUUUCUUCGAAAGUAAGUGCCGCUGAUUUCAGUGGAGGCUGAAAUAUGGUAUUUUCCAGCCUUAUUCUGGCUGGAGGGAAACAUGUGACUGUGAAGUGGCCAGAUGUACAAGAUGUGCUUUGAGCAUAGUGGCUUCAUUGUGUCGUGAAAAGUGAAAUGGAGAAGGGAGCCCUCGAGUGAGGUCGUGUUAUAUAGAUUUUUGCUGCGGGUGGCAAACUGAGCAGAUUGUCUUCGCCAUUGAUUGAUCUGGUCUCGCCUUUAUUGAGAGCACAUGGCGCACACUUAUUUUUUUAGUAGCUUUUUAUUAAAACUGACAAACGAGAGAUCCCAUGCUUUCAAGAGAUGAUCCCCAAGGAUUCCCCAGGGUGAUGUUUGUCUAGCCUAAGAUGAUGUUUCUGCUUUUGAUCCAUGGAAGCAUUUAGAGCACUAAUAAAAACAAAACCAAUAAAAGCCAAGCGAAAGCUUUUUGAAUUGCAGGACUUCACACACAAAAAUAAAUAAUAGAAUUAUAAAGUUGGCAGCGACCUGAGGGCCAUCAAGCAAACUUUGAAAGAUUGGGGAGGUGGGAGAGCCAGUAUAUUUAAUAUACUUGUUUUUAGGUCUUAAAAGUUUGUCCGUUUGUCCGUCCUAUUGGUUCAGUGCAUACAUGAUCUUGUGUCAAAAAAUACUCAGUGCCAGAAAUGAGUUAAUAAAUAUGUGGUACAGUGGUACUUCAGGUUACAGACGCUUCAGGUUACAGACACUUCAGGUUACAGACUCCGCUAACCCAGAAAUAGUACCUCGGGUUAAGAACUUUGCUUCACGAUGAGAACAGAAAUUGCACGGCGGCCGCGCAGCAGCAGUGGGACGCCCCAUUAGCUAAAGUGGUGCCUCAGGUUAAGAACAGUUUCAGGUUAAGAAUGGACCUCCAGAACGAAUUAAGUUCUUAACCAGAGGUACCACUGUAUAUCUCAGUUGCUAACAUUGGCAAGACCUGUUGUUUGCAAAACAAAAAACAAAAACACCUGCCUGAGGACGAACACUGAAAUGAAGCCCACAGUAUUGGUGUGGGUUUUUAUCUUUAAAACUGGUGAGGUUUAUUUAUCUUUAUGUAGUGGACAGUUGCCCUUCAAUGUUGCUGCAACACUGACUGCAAAGCUGACUGUUUCAAUUGGGCUAAUAAGUGUACCAGACCCUGGCUUGACUGAUGCUAUCACAGUAAGUUAUAAGGUUUGGUCCAAGGACCACAUGGGUGGUGCUUUGGUCUAAACCACUGAGCCUCUUGGGCAGGGGUCAGCAACCUUUUUCAGCUGUGGGCCGGUCCACCGUCCCUCAGACCAUGUGGUGGGCUGGACUAUAUUUUGGGGAAAAAUAUGAACGCAUUCUUAUGCCCCACAAAUAACCCAGAGAUGCAUUUUAAAUAAAAGGACACAUUCUACUCAUGUAAAAAAAAUGCUGAUUCCCAGACCAUCCGUGGGCCAGAUUGAGAAGGUGAUUGGGCUGCAUCCGGCCCCUGGGCCUUAGGUUGCCUACCCCUGCUCUUGGGUUUGCUGAUGUAACAGUGGUAGGAAGGGAUGGAGCAGGAAGAUGCAAUGAGUCUUGCUGUAGGCUUGGUGGGAGCAUUCCCGAUGCCCAUCUGCCUGUCAGUUCUGCAGAAUUGUGCUUUAGGCUGAAAACCAGCUGCUUUAUAAACUUAAUUAUGCAUUUUUAAUUUUUAAAAAAGUACAUUAUUAUAAUAUUUUUAAUAUUGAUAAAUUGGUGUGUGUGUGUGCGUGUAUUGGGGGUGUGUGCGUAUAUUAUACACAUUUAACUCCGUUAGUACUAUGAAGUGGGAAACAGCAGCGUAGAUGUACCGUAUUUUUUGCUCUGUAAGACUCACUUUUUCCCUCCUAAAAAGUAAGGGGAAAUGUGUGUGCGUCUUAUGGAGCAAAUGCAGGCUGCGCAGCUAUCCCAGAAGCCAGAACAGCAAGAGGGAUUGCUGCUUUCACUGCGCAGCGAUCCCUCUUGCUGUUCUGGCUUCUGAGAUUCAGAAUAUUUUUUUUCUUGUUUUCCUCCUCCAAAAACUAGGUGCGUCUUGUGCUCUGGUGCGUCUUAUAGAGCGAAAAAUACAGUAGGUCUUCUUUGCAAAGAAGAGCAGAAAUGACCAGGCCUCCUCUGCUCUUCUUUGCAAAGGAGCAGGAAGAGCUAUUGCACAACAAAUGUCUUCCUCUGCUGCAACAGCCAAAGCAGCCACAUAAUCGAGCCAUGACGCGAUUAGCUUAGUCAGUAGAGCAUGAGACUCUCAGCCUCAAGGUCGGGGGUUCCAGCCCCAUGUUUGGGCAAAAUAUUCCUGCAUUGAAGGUGGCUGGACUAAAUGACCCUCAUGGUCCCUUCCAACUCUAUGAUAACGUUUCAGCACAGAAUCGGGUGUCCUGUUUUUACAAAGCAUUAUGAAUAAUACUCCAAAAUUCACAGCCAGUAAGCAUCUUAUUAGGACCAUCUGAAAUGUUUCAAAAUGGCACGCAAGCCUCUGAGUUCUGCAGAACUCUUCCUCAGAUGAGAUGCCACGCAAAGCAGAAGUUGUGGGAGAUGAAGUAGGGGAGCUAAGUAAGAAAAAUAGAGUUGACCUUGAAGUGUUUGAGGUUUGUUUUUGACUUGGGCUAGUGGCUUGAAGGGACGCGGGUGGCACUGUGGGUUAAACCACAGAGCCUAGGACUUGCCGGUCAGAAGGUCAGUGGUUCGAAUCCCCACGAUGGGGUGAACUCCCAUUGCUCGGUCCCUGCUCCUGCCAACCUAGCAGUUCAAAAGCACGUCAAAGUGCAAGUAGAUAAAUAGGUACCAUUCCGGCGGGAAGGUAAACAGCAUUUCCAUGCGCUGCUCUGGUUUGCCAGAAGCGGCUUAGUCAUGCUGGCCACAUGACCCGGAAGCUGUUCGCUGGCUCCCUCAGCCAAUAAAACGAAAUGAGUGCCGCAACCCCAGAGUUGGUCGCAACUGGACCUAAUGGUCAGGGGUCCCUUUACCUAGUGGCUUGAAAUGCAGCAAAAUCAUUACCAUAUUUUUCGCUCUAUAAGACGCACCAGACCACAAGACGCACCUAGUUUUUGGAGGAGGAAAACAAGAAAAAAAAUAUUCUGAAUCUCAGAAGCCAGAACAGCAAGAGGGAUUGCUGCGCAGUGAAAGCAGCAAUCCCUCUUGCUGUUCUGGCUUCUGGGAUAGCUGCGCAGCCUGCAUUCGCUCCAUAAGACGCACACACAUUUCCCCUUACUUUUUAGGAGGGAAAAAGUGAGUCUUAUAGAGCAAAAAAUAGGUACCUCCGCACACAUUGCUUUUCAAAUCACAUUCUUAAACGAGGUGUGGAGAUGAAUUCACCACACCACACUGAUUUAACACUGGGGUAGGGAGAUGACUGAACUGGCUCCAUAGAAAUAAUCUCUGUGCAUUCAAAACAGAUUUUCAAAAGUCUGCCCUUACUGUGUCAAGUUGCACAGAUCUGUCUCAUAAAAGGGUUUGUGCUGUCGGCCUUGGAGUUGCUUCAAGGAGGUGGUCCUUGUUUCACUCCAAUGACAUCUCCUGUUAAAAAACAAACACGCCAUUGUCCCCCUUGAAAGCCGCAUUAUAGCAGCUUGUCUCCCUAAUGACCCCCUUCCUCCUGCAAACAAUAGGGCCAUAGCAUUCAACAAUAGCCAUGUCCUAUUCUCUUCCCUGUGGCCCGCAUGAACCCUGCGUGACUCUGUCAGGCACCACAACCUGACAGAAGGAUGGGCCAGAUGUCCUGGGCUCAGUGACUGUCUUGAGGGCCAUGGCGUCCCCAUUCAUUUCCAUGAUUUCCAUCAAUUGCACAGGAGACUUGAAACUAGAGAUCCGUGGCUCACACAGUGCACACUUGUUUGCCGCUAUGAUGCAUCAGCAGCUGUCGGGGCUCACCCACAAUUCUGCUUGUCCUGUGCCUAGAAAGCACGGGUGGUUUCCCCCUUGCCUGGCUUCUUAGGAAAAACCCACUCUUUAACUCCAAGUGAAGGCAGUGAAUGUCCUGUGUGAGUGUGUGGAGGCAGUUGGAGGAUGGAUGGCAGCUAACAGAUUGAGGUUGAAUCCUGACAAGACAGAAGUACUGUUUUGGGGGGGACGGGGGGCGGGGAGGUGUGGAGGACUCCCUGGUCCUGAAUGGGGUAACUGUGCCCCUGAAGGACCAGGUGCGCAGCCUGGGAGUCAUUUUGGACCCACAGCUGUCCAUGGAAGUGCAGGUCAAUUCUGUGUCCAGGGCAGCUGUCUACCAGCUCCAUCUUGUAUGCAGGCUGAGACCGUACCUGCCCACAGACUGUCUUGCCUGAGUGGUGCAUGCUCUGGUUAUCUCCCGCUUGAACAACUGCAAUGUGCUCUAUGCGGAGCUACCUUUGAAGGUGACCUGGAAACUACAACUAAUCCAGAAUGUGGCAGCCAGACUGGUGAUUGGGAGUGGCCGCCGAGACCAUAUAACACCAAUCCUGAAAGACCUACAUUGGCUUCUAGUACAUUUCCGAGCACAAUUCAAAGUGUUGGUGCUGACCUUUAAACCUGAGGUCCAGCUCCAAGGGCCUUCUGGUGGUUCCCUCCCUCUAGGUUGCUCACACAGUAAAAUAAACUUUGCAUCCCAGUUAACAUGCUUCUGUGGCAGAAUUCUAAGGAAAGUUCCUUUUAAUGAAUGCAACUCCCUCCUAUGGAAAAAAACACUAUUAAAAUCUUUCAUAUUAUCUCAUAUUAUUAUAUUAUAUACCGUUGCUUCAUACAUCAGUGCUAAGUAAUCUGAGAAAUCCCAUCAUAAAGAAGCUGGUUAAAGAGCCUUGAGGCAUAAACAAGUUUCCAUAUUAUUUCAUCAGAUCACCGUGGCUUCAGUUUCUACAUUAUCUCUGUUGUUAAUUAGUAUCUGUUCCUCACAUUGCAGCUCUUGUUUCUCACUGAUAACUUAUGUAGCCUGGAAUUAAAGGCCUGGUUUGCUUUGGAAGAAUAAUUUAUUGCUUCUGUGUGGAUUUCGGGGGAAUGGGAGCUUUGAAAAUCUUAAUUCAACCAAGAAGCCACUACAGAAGUUUGAUGAAUCAGAUCCACGCAUACCAAUGGUGGGGGUUUUUUAAACCCACAAUGACGUAUUUAUGGGGGAGCCACAAUUCAGUGAUACUGGUACAAUAGAUAGCAUACAUUUUCUGGGGUGGUUAUUUUAGUGUAAUCCCAAUAAAUGAAUGAAUGAAUGAAUGAAUGAAUGAAUCCAGAAAUUUAAAAUGUGGUUCCAAGUAUAAAGAUGAAAUAAAAUAUUAUGUGGAAGAUCUUUUACCUUAGUUGUGUCAGUUUUCAUUUCUUAGUGCAGACAGGAUUGAUCUGAUGUGUCGAGAUCUUUCCUAUUCUAAUGAAUUCAAGAGGGUUCUGGAAGCUUCUCUGUGUGAAAGAAACAAGCAAAAGGUUCAUGAUGUUUGGGUUAUUCCUUCAGAGAAGCUGAGUACAGCUGGCUUAAACUGGUUCUGUUAUUUCUUCUGUGAAGAUCAUGUUGACUAUAAAAGUAAGGCCAAAAGGAGUCUGGGUUUCCCUUUCCCUUUCUAUCUCUUUUCCUUCUGAUGUGGUGUUCUGUAUAUAGUGUUAAGGUUUAGUUUUAUUAUAAGUUAUUGUAAGUUUAAGUUAAGUCUGCUGCAACUGGAUUUCUCAUGGACAGUACCCGUCCUGAAUGUACUGGAUUUGUGACCAUUAUGCUCAUCUGCCUUCAGGAGCAGUAAAGCUCUGCUGGAUGAAAUACAAUUGCCUCUGAUCUUAUUUUUGGGGGAAUCCUGCAACAUGUUUAAGUUUUUACUCUGCUAACUAUACAUUGGAAUCUGGCUCAAUAUUGAGUAGAAUUUCAUAACAAGUGGUACAUCUACAGUGGUACCUCGGUUUCCAAACUUAAUCCGUUCCGGAAGUCCGUUCUUAAACCAAAACCGUUCUUAAACCGAGGUGCACUUUCCCUAAUGAGGCCUACCGCCGCUGGUGCCCUUCCACCGUUUGGCUUCCAUUCUUAGACCGAGGUAAAGUUUGCAAACCGGGACACUACUUCCGGUUUUGCAGAGUUCCUAAACUGAAUAGUUUGUAAACAGGAGUGUUCUUAAACCGACUGUCCUUAAACUAGAGGAGUCCGACAGAGAUAGUUUUAGGGCAUAGUGACCGGUUGCCCCCGAAAUGGACACUGAGCAGAGAGGGUGGUCAGUAAGCACUUGCCUGGUUAUGGGAAGGAGGGGUGAGGAUAUUUAUUUAUAUGUUUAUUUAUUUAUACCCCGCCCAUCUGGCUGGCUUUCUCCAGCCACUCUGGGCGGCUUCCAACAGAACACUAAAGUACAAUAACCUAUUAAACAUUAAAAGCUUCCAUAAAUAGGAGUCCUAGUGUCCUCCCUCCUUCCCAAAGCCUAGUUAGCACUUGCCCAGGUUUGAGAAGGAAGUAGGAGGGCUCUACAAUCCUGCUGGAGCCCUCGCACCUUCUUCCCAAAGCCAGGCAUGGCUCAAGGACUGUCUGCCAUAUUGUGAAAAGGAAACUAGUACAACAGUCAUUUUUAUGCAGCCAAAACUACCUGGAAAAAUUCAAACUUGAAGCAAUCAUUUUAUGUAUACUUUGUUCAAAAAUCCUACCUCUGGAUCACAGCCAACGCUGCUGUUCCACUAACACAGCAGACUGUCGCAAUGCAACUUCUCCUUCUGGUCCCUAUGUACCCCCAAUAUCUGCUUCAAAGAGGUGGGAGACAACCCAUAGCAGAUUUUGAGGGCACGCAAGGAGAGGAAAGGCAAGUCUUGUUAGGUGAUCAGAACUCUGUGCAUGAAUUGUAGGAAACAACCAUCUGAGUUUAACACCUCUGCAUUGGGAAUUAAAGGUAAAGGUAAAGGGACCCCUGACCAUUAGGUCCAGUCGUGACCGACUCUGGGGUUGUGGCGCUCAUCUCGCUUUAUUGGCUGAGGGAGCCGGCGUACAGCUUCCGGGUCAUGUGGCCAGCAUGACUAAGCUGCUUCUGGCGAACCAGAGCAGUGCACGGAAAUGCCGUUUACCUUCCCGCCGGAGCGGUACCUAUUUAUCUACUUGCAUUUUGACGUGCUUUCGAACUGCUAGGUUGGCAGGAGCAUGGACCGCACAACGGGAGCUCACCCCGUCGUGUGGAUUUGAACCGCUGGCCUUCUGAUCGGCAAGUCCUAGGCUCUGUGGUUUAACCCACAGCGCCACCCACGUCGCAUUGGGAAUUGCCAAUGCAUUAAUUUUUUGCAUAAUGUCUUCAUUUGAGUGAAAGUGGUGUCCUUCUGCAUUUGCGUCAAUGUGAAAAAUCAGAUUUUCAUACGGUUACUUAAUACGAAGUAGUAAAACACAAAGCUUUACCAAAAGCCAAGGGGGAAUACAUCUGACAGUACUCAAAGCUUAUUUAAAUCCUAUAACACUCUACAGACAGGGCUUGAUCCGUUGAAGAGACACAGUUUGUAGUAACUUUGGUAAAUUUCUAUCAACAAGAUGCCAAUUAUUAUUAUUUAAUUAUUGCCUUGCAAUGAAUCAUACAACCCUGGGCUACUAAUGGUACACUUGGUUCGUAUACAUUAGUAUAUGGCACCUGGGCAUCCAUAGCUAAUAAAGCAUGCUUUCAAUAAAGCUAUUAUUAAACAUUGAUUGCCAGUAUAUUUGCUAACCCAGCACAAGUUGGAAUUCCAUUAAAUGCAUAAACUGUCAGGUCUCAAAAUAAUGCUGGAUGAUCAAGAGUAACUGGAGACAUUUCACGCUGAAAUCUACAGGGUAAUUAUGAAAAAUGUGCCUAACGGGUUCUUUUUAUUUAUCACACACUCGUUUUUAUAAAUGACAUUUGCUGAGCAAUGAUUGCUUUCUUAUCUGGCCUUUGAGACAAAAUCUGUUUUUUUAGGAGUUUUAGGUGUGCUUUGAAAUCUGUUGCAUAUGACAGUCUACUGUUGUGUCAAAUCAACGUAAAAAAGGAACAGAUUCAUAGAAAUACUAAAAUGCAGAACUGUAGAGUUGGAAGUGAUCUCAAGGAUCAUCUGGUCCAAUGCAGGAAUCUCAACUAAAGCAUCCUUGACAAAUGGCCAUCCUUGUUGUUGUUGAGUCGUUUAGUCGUGUCUGACUCUUCGUGACCCCAUGGACCAGAGCACGCCAGGCACUCCUGUCUUCCACUGCCUCCCGCAGUUUGGUCAGACUCAUGCUGGUAGCUUCGAGAACACUAUCCAACCAUCUCGUCCUCUGUCGUCCCCUUCUCCUUGUGCCCUCCAUCUUUCCCAACAUCAGGAUCUUUUCCAGGGAGUCUUCUCUUCUCAUGAGGUGGCCAAAGUACUGGAGCCUCAGCUUCACGAUCUGUCCUUCCAGUGAGCACUCAGGGCUGAUUUCCUUAAGAAUGGAGAGGUUUGAUCUUCUUACAGUCCAUCUAAGCUCUGCUUAAAAACCUCAAAGGAAGGAGAGUCCAUAACUGCUGAAAGGUUCUUACUGUCAGAAGUUCUUCCUCAAGUUUAGUUGGAAUUGCCCUUCUUGAAUAUUGAAUGCAUUGGUUCGGGUCCUACCCUCCAGAGCAGGAGAAAAUAAGCUGUUCCAUCUUCCAGGUGACAGCCCUUGAGAUAUGUGAAGAUAUCCUAUCUCCUCACAGUCUCCUCUUUUCCAGGCUAAACAUAUACCCAGCUCCCUGUUGUAUUACCCUUAAUGCAAAUUUGUACAACGUAUAAAUUCAAGAUUACCUUUCUGUGGCCUUCUCAGCAUCUAGGGAAUCUCACAUUAUUUAUAAACAGCCCUAGUUUCUCAGGCUUGUACAGUGGUACCUCGGGUUACAUACGCUUCAGGUUACAUACGCUUCAGGUUAAGCACUCCGCUAACCCAGAAAUAGUGCUUCAGGUUAAGAACUUUGCUUCAGGAUAGGAAGAGAAAUCGGGCUCCGGUGGCACGGCGGCAGCAGGAGCCCCAUUAGCUAAAGUGGUGUUUCAGGUUAAGAACAGUUUCAGGUUAAGAACAGAUCUCCAGAACGAAUUAAGUACUUAACCCGAGGUACCACUGUAGUUGCAAAGGCAGGGGCUGCAUUUGGAAAAUCACAAUAAAUGAUGUUUGUCAUGAUGGAAUAACCCUCGCCUCCCGCUCCUGACUCUCACGCAAACCUUCCCUCAACACAGCAAAGAGCAGAAGAUACAAACAUUCAUUUACAGUGAAGCAGAAGUUAGUGGCUAGAUGCAACACUAAACAGGGAUUAAUCUGAGGUAUCGUGUGUCGGAAACAAAGCCAGUUUGAGAAACCAAAAUUUGAAACUUUGCUUGUUUCAAAGAAACCAUAGUUAAGGUUAGCCAAAGUUUGUUGGGUUCAGAUGAAACAACAAACAGUGGCUAAUCAAAAAUGGAAAUGAAAGCUUCCAUAGUUGCACCAUAAAUGUGAACCCAGGGGGAGGCUAGAAUUGUUCCUGUCAUGAUAAACUAUGGCUUCUUAUAACAUUAAAAUGCAGCCAUUGUUGUGGCCAUGUGACUAUAUUAGCCAGUCAUCUGCUUCCUAUGUUUAUGUAUCCCUUUCCAAUAUAGAUUCACAGACACUUUCUUGUGCCUUUUAAAAGCAGCAAAUAUUCAUGAAAAUGUAUUGGCCAAACAAAGAGAAAAGCAAAUACAAAAGACCAAACCACACUUUUUCUAUUGUGAUAACUUCAAAAUGCAUAUGCCACAGGUUUGUUUGUUUGUUUGUUUGUUUGUUUGUUUGUUUGUUUUAAUGGUUGACUGAGUUAGUCCUCAUUAAAGAAUGGCCAUUUCUGCAUAAAGAGGAUGUAAAACUUAUUUAAGAUAUCUGACAGCUAUAGCCUGGCAUUCUGUGUUCUUUUGAUUUUCC